rnacentral:lncRNA from 1 species
UAUACGGAUGCCCUUCGACUGCUCGCCGAAGUCCUUUUUGUCCCGGCCGGUAGGUCUCUAAACGUUACAGAGAACCCCGAACAACCCAAACUGUUAAUCUUCGAUACCGCUUUGUACUUACAAUCCUGUAUCCACUGACUGUCUUGUUAGAUUAACCCAAUAAAUUUCAUUCACUCCGCAUACUCAAUCCUAUAGACACCCUUUUA